rnacentral:rRNA from 1 species
GAACGACGCUGGCGGCAGGCUUAACACAUGCAAGUCGAACGGUUGUAGCAAUACAGCAGUGGCGGACGGGUGAGUAACACGUGGGAACCUUCCUAGGGGUACGGAACAACUCAGGGAAACUUGAGCUAAUACCGUAUACGUCCGUGAGGAGAAAGAUUUAUCGCCCUUAGACGGGCCCGCGUCGGAUUAGCUAGUUGGUGGGGUAACGGCCUACCAAGGCGACGAUCCGUAGCUGAUCUUAGAGGAUGAUCAGCCACACUGGGACUGAGACACGGCCCAGACUCCUACGGGAGGCAGCAGUGGGGAAUCUUGGACAAUGGGCGCAAGCCUGAUCCAGCCAUGCCGCGUGAGUGAAGAAGGUCUUCGGAUUGUAAAGCUCUUUUGCCAGGGACGAUAAUGACGGUACCUGGAGAAUAAGCCCCGGCAAACUUCGUG